rnacentral:rRNA from 1 species
UACGGGGGGGGCAAGCGUUGUUCGGAAUUACUGGGCGUAAAGGGCUCGUAGGCGGCCAACUAAGUCGGACGUGAAAUCCCUCGGCUUAACCGGGGAACUGCGUCCGAUACUGGAUGGCUUGAGUUCGGGAGAGGGAUGCGGAAUUCCAGGUGUAGCGGUGAAAUGCGUAGAUAUCUGGAGGAACACCGGUGGCGAAGGCGGCAUCCUGGACCGACACUGACACUGAGGAGCGAAAGCCAGGGGAGCAAACGGG